rnacentral:rRNA from 1 species
CGUAUGGUGGAUGCCUAGACACAAAAAGGCGAUGAAGGACGUGGCGUGCCUGCGAUAAGCCUCGGGGAGGUGGUGAGCAACCUUUGAUCCGAGGAUGUCCGAAUGGGGAAACCCCAUUGGAGUAAUGUCCAAUGACCCGCCGCCUAAAAACGGCGAGGAGUAAACCCGGCGAAUUGAAACCUCUUAGUAGCCGGAGGAAAAGAAAAAACACGCAAAACAUAUUUUUUGGAUGAGCUAUAUGCUCAUUCAGAUAAAUGUGUUUUGUAUAUUCCCUAAGUAGCGGCGAGCGAACAGGGAGGAGCCCAAACUUCAUUUUUCUGGUUUAACCAUCAGAAGAGUGGAGGGUUGAAAGAUGGCAACGCAUCAUUUGGUUGGUGGGGAGUGCAAAAAGUCAAAACUUCCAUAGUUGAACACCGGUGGAAAACGGUGGCCCAAGAGGGUGAUAGCCCCGUAAGCGAAAUGGGUUUUGAUACUCCUAGUUGUUAUUCUUGAGUAUUCCGGGGAACCAAUACCCUGGAUGAAGCAGGGUCAACUACAGACCCAAGGCUAAAUACUUUUUGUGAUCGAUAGCGGAUUAGUACCGCGAGGGAACGGUGAAAAGCAGCCCGGUGAGGGCGGUGAAAUAGUACCUGAAACCAUAUGCUUACAAGGAGUCAGAGACCAAAUCCCAGACCGCAAGGUUUGGGGCGGUUCAUGACGUGCCUCUUGGAGAAUGAGCCAACGAGUUUGUGCUUACCGCUUGUCUAAUUUGCGAUGGCAAAGAAGGCAUAGGGAAACCGAGUCUUAAUAGGGCGAACUAAAUUUUUUCCUGGAAAAAGGCUUGAGCCCCAGGAAAAAAUUUAAAGGCGGACUGCACAAGACCCGAAACCAGGCGAGCUACCCAUGACCAGGGUGAACCCCGCAGAAAUGCGGGGGGAGGCCCGAACCCGUAUGUCGUUCAAAGCGUUGGGAUGAGUUGUGGGUUGCAGUGAAAAGCUUAUCGAGCUUGGUAAUAGCUGGUUCUUCCCGAAAUAGUUUUAGGACUAGCGGUUGUUUUAUAGGCCGGAGGUAGAGCACUGGUUGGUCUGUAUUGGGGGAAACCUCGGCAGACCAGUCAAACUCCGAAUGCCGGUCUUCUUGACAGCCAGUCAGACUGCGGGGGCAAAGCUCCGUGGUCGAAAGGGCAACAGCCCAGAUCGUAAUCUAAGGUCCCAAAAUGCAAACUAAGUGUUACAAGGUGGUGGAAUCUCUUAUACACCAAGGAGGUUGGCUUAGAAGCAGCCACCCUUUAAAGAGUGCGUAAUAGCUCACUUGUCUAGAGGUUCUGCGCCGAAAAUAAUCGGGGCUAAGUUUGCUACCGAAGAUACGGACACGGAAAUCGAGUUUUGGAGAAGUUGUAAAACGGUUGGAGGGUGGCGCAAAUUCGCGCUUAGCGUCGUUCUCGCUUUGGAAACGAGAGUAACACGGCGCCGGGUGCAUGGUUAGCGCGCCCCGAUGGCAUCGGGGAAGUUGUGGGUUCAAGUCCCACCCCUCCAGCCAAAAAUUCGGUGCGGGGUUAGCUCAGGGGGAGAGCAUCUCUUCUGCUAGAAGAGAGGUCCUAGGUUCGAAUCCUAGACCCUGCACCAAAAGUUCUUUUCGGUGGCACCGUCGUCUAACGGGUAAGGACGCCAAGCCGCUCAGGCUGGAAAUCCGGGUUCAAAUCCCGGCGGUAGCUACCAAAAUCGGCGAAGAAUUUUUCUUCGCCUCCAAAACUCGAUUUCCGUGUGGUAGGGAAGCAUCUUGCACAGCUGUGAAGGCGGACCCGCGAGGGCUGCUGGAGCGUGCAGGAGCGAGAAUGUUGGCAUGAGUAACCACAAUACCGGUGUGAUCCCGGUACGCCGAAAGUCCCAGGUUUCCUUGGCAAUGUACAUCAUCCAAGGGUUAGUCGGUCCUAAGGCGAUGGCGAGAGCCGCAGCUGAUGGACAGCAGGUUAAUAUUCCUGCACCGGCAUAAUAAGCGAUGGGGUGACGGAGGUUAGUACUUCAAGCGUGUUAUUGGAUUUACGUUCAGAAGUCGAGGAGCUUAGGCAGGCAAAACCGCCUAGGUGCUUUUAAUGGCAACUCCCAGACGAUGAAAAUCUUUUGUCUUCGGACAGGAGAAAUUUGAAGGAGCCGCCUUCCCAGAAAAACCUCUAAGCUCAUUAUUAUGUCGACCGUACCGCAAAACCGACACAGGUGGACGAGGCGAGAAGCCUAAGGCGAACGGGUGACUGCUCCCUAAGGAACUCGGCAAAAAAGCGGCCGUAAGUUAGCGAUAAGGCCUUCCCAGCCCGCAAGGGUUUGGGACGCAGCGAAAGUAUCCUUGGCGACUGUUUAUCAAAAACACAGGUCCCUGCGAACCCGUAAGGGGAUGUAUAGGGGCUGACGCCUGACCAGUGCUGGAACGUUAACGGUUGAGGUGUGGUGUGGAGCAAUCCAUGUCAUGCUAAGGCCCGAAGCGCCAGUGAACGUCCGCGGUAACUAUAACCGUGUUAAAGUAGCGAAAUCCCUUGGCAGGUAAGUUCUGUCCCGCAUGAAUGGCGUAACGACUGAGGAACUGUCUCGGGGAGUAGCCCGGUGAAAAUACAAUGGGGGUGAAGAUGCCCUCUACCUGCAGCGGGACGAAAAGACCCCGGAAGCUUCACUGCAACUUGAUAUUGGGUAUUUUCAUUUAAUGCGUAGCGUAGCGGAGAGACUUUGAAGCCAUCCUCUCGGGGAUGGUGGAGUCGCCAAUGAAACAUCCGUCUUUAAAUGAUUUUAUUCUAACCUGUCGAGAAAAACUCGAUGGAGACAGUGUCUGGUGGGCAGUUUUGCUGGGGCAGCAGCCUCCUAAAAGGUAACGGAGGCGUUCAUUAAGGUCGGCUAGCUCCGGAUGGAAAUCGGAGCGAUAGCGUAAAGGCACAAGCCGGCUUAACUGCAAGGCGUACAUGCCGCGCAGGCGCGAAAGCGGGACUUAGUGAACCGAUGGUAGCUCGUAGGAGCGCCAGAGAUUAUCGGAUAAAAGUUACUCCGGGGAUAACAGGCUAGUACCGCCCAAGAGUUCAUAUCGACGGCGGUGUUCGGCACCUCGAUGUCGGCUCAACCUAUCCUGGGGCUGGAGAAGGUCCCAAGGGUUUGGCUGUUCGCCAAUUAAAAGGUUACGUGAGCUGGGUUCAGACCGUCGCAAGACAGGUUGGUCUCCUAUCUGCUGCAGGCGUUGAUACUUGAAGGGAGUUGCUCCUAGUACGAGAGGACCGGAGCGAACGUACCUCUGGUGUGCCAGCUGUUCCGCCAGGAGCAUCGCUGGGUAGCUAUGUACGGCCAUGAUAAGCGCUGAAAGCAUCUAAGCGCGAAGCAUACCCUAAGAUUAGGUAUCAUUUAGGCCCCUGGGAGAUGACCAGGUUGAUAGGCUGCAGGUGUAAGGCGUGUAAGCGCUUGAGCCGAGCAGUACUAAUAGGCCAAGGU